rnacentral:tmRNA from 1 species
GGGGAUGUAUUUGGUUUCGACAGCAACCCAGAAGUAUAAAUAGCGAGUAGUGGAUGGCUGCUUUGGCCACUUAAAAAAAGCAGAAAUAAAAAUAAACGCUGAUAAAACAGAAUUAGCAUACGCUGCUUAAUUGUAGCGACGUUUUACCUAAAAUUCCCACAUUUUAGGAUAAAGCGACGACUUAGUGGGAAACGAAUCCGAUUUUUGUUUCAGAAAUCGGUGGGUAUCUUAUGAAACUACUUUAGUAUAGCUUUGUUUAUUAAGAUAUACUAAAGAAAAUAUAAUAAUAAACUGCACUCGGAGAAGUUUAUAUGGAAAGGUUGUUGGACAGGAGUUCGACUCUCCUCAUCUCCACCA